rnacentral:rRNA from 1 species
ACGAACGCUGGCGGCGUGCUUAACACAUGCACGUCGAACGGAAAGGCCCUGCUUUUGUGGGGUGCUCGAGUGGCGAACGGGUGAGUAACACGUGAGUAACCUGCCCUUGACUUUGGGAUAACUUCAGGAAACUGGGGCUAAUACCGGAUAGGAGCUCCUGCUGCAUGGUGGGGGUUGGAAAGUUUCGGCGGUUGGGGAUGGACUCGCGGCUUAUCAGCUUGUUGGUGGGGUAGUGGCUUACCAAGGCUUUGACGGGUAGCCGGCCUGAGAGGGUGGCCGGCCACAUUGGGACUGAGAUACGGCCCAGACUCCUACGGGAGGCAGCAGUGGGGAAUAUUGCACAAUGGGCGGAAGCCUGAUGCAGCAACGCCGCGUGCGGGAUGACGGCCUUCGGGUUGUAAACCGCUUUCGCCUGUGACGAAGCGUGAGUGACGGUAAUGGGUAAAGAAGCACCGGCUAACUACGUG